rnacentral:rRNA from 1 species
GGGUGAGUAAUACAUAAGUAACCUGGCAUCUACAGGGGGAUAACUGAUGGAAACGUCAGCUAAGACCGCAUAGGUGUAGAGAUCGCAUGAACUCUAUAUGAAAAGUGCUACGGGACUGGUAGAUGAUGGACUUAUGGCGCAUUAGCUUGUUGGUAGGGUAACGGCCUACCAAGGCGACGAUGCGUAGCCGACCUGAGAGGGUGACCGGCCACACUGGGACUGAGACACGGCCCAGACUCCUACGGGAGGCAGCAGUAGGGAAUUUUCGGCAAUGGGGGAAACCCUGACCGAGCAACGCCGCGUGAAGGAAGAAGUAAUUCGUUAUGUAAACUUCUGUCAUAGAGGAAGAACGGUGGAUAUAGGGAAUGAUAUCCAAGUGACGGUACUCUAUAAGAAAGCCACGGCUAACUACGUGCCAGCAGCCGCGGUAAUACGUAGGUGGCGAGCGUUAUCCGGAAUUAUUGGGCGUAAAGAGGGUGCAGGCGGCACUAAGGGUCUGUGGUGAAAGAUCGAAGCUUAACUUCGGUAAGCCAUGGAAACCGUAGAGCUAGAGUGUGUGAGAGGAUCGUGGAAUUCCACGUGUAGCGGUGAAAUGCGUAGAUAUAUGGAGGAACACCAGUGGCGAAGGCGACGGUCUGGCGCAUAACUGACGCUCAGUCCCGAAAGCGUGGGGAGCAAAUAGGAUUAGAUACCCUAGUAGUCCACGCCGUAAACGAUGAGUACUAAGUGUUGGGGGUCAAAGCUCAGUGCUGCAG